AAGAAAGUGACAGAGUGGUGAUGUGAUUGGCUUGAAACCAAUAUAUGGAGGUUUAAUUCCUUCCUUUCUUG
rnacentral:tRNA from 1 species